UAUGUGUUCUAUAGAUAUUUUGUUGCUCUUGUCACAUAGAUAGAUCAUGAACAAUGAAUGUACUCAACAUAAAACAUUCAACAAACACAAUGACCACAGCUGAACGCCUGGUGACCAACCAAUUAGUACUCAGUACAUCAAGUCCAGGCUAAACAUUCACAAAUCAGUUCAAAACAACAGCGCUCACAUAACAAACAGACCUUCCCUGUCAUUAGCAUACUUGUAACUUAAUUAGCACACACCUUCUCAUCUCAUGAACAAGAGUUAGUCAAAGUUCAAUUUCAAUUUUAAAAAUAUAAUCAUCCAUAAACAUUUGGCUGGAAUAAUGGAACAAAUAUAUUUAUGUAAUUUCUUUGUCAGUGUAACUUUAUAUGCUGAUGGCAAAACAGGAUUACCUAUGUGCUGAUGUGGGUGGGGGAAAAAAAAAAUUAAAUAUGAAUCCUACAAGGGCUACAGGGUUAAAGAAAGAAAUACACUUCAACUCAGAUGACUCAAUGUUAAAAACAAACCUGCUAACUAUCUAGUCUUAGGGUUUAUAUUCUGGUCAAAAAAGAUUUAUUUUCACUAUAUAAUCAGGACCACUUUGCAUUAAAAGCUACUUAGUGUUGGAAAAAAUAAAGGUGCUGAUUUUUCAAAAUUGACUUUAGGUCAGUGCCAUAGACUACAACAGGCAAUACUGUUCAUGUCAUUUAUCUCAUUCACAAUGUAAUCAAUCACACAUAUGCUCAAAGUUAUAACCACAUCACAACACUAAAUGGUCUCACAGUUUUAAAAAAUGCCAUUAUUGUUUUUUGCAUCUAUUUAUGCACGUCAGUAUUUACUUCAAUCAUUGCUAUAAAAAUCUGUUUAAAAUAAUCAUUAAAAAAAAAUUUCUCAGCUCUCAAAUGAAGACAAAAUUAGCUGACACUGACCCUGAAUAAAAAAAACAACAACAUAUAUGGGCACACAACAUUUACAAAUUGUGGAUGUAUUAUUUCUUCAGAACUUCAGGCUUAGUGGAAGGGAAUAGUUGAACUUUGCUCCAUGGGAGGAGACAAAGUAAAGAUAUUUACCCUAUUGGCUACAGACAGCUAAAGAAGAGUGCUUAUGUGAAGUGGAGGACUACAUAAUAGAAAUGUGUUUCCUUAGCACACUGUUCCAAAGGUGUUACUAAUAUUCUCUUGCCUUAAAAGUGUCUAGGUGGCGGGUAGGUGCCAUAAUGCUGGCAAUUUCAUAGAAGGAUUGCAAACUGGGAUUCUAGUUGAAAUAAGCAUCACAUACAAAAUCUAAGUUAGGAUAAUAAGGUUGUCAGCGCUAUUUAACAAUUAUUAUUUAUUCUACAAGAAUUUUGAUAAGCUAAAAAAAAUGAAUAAGGGUUAUGAACCUUUGCCUUCACAACAAAUAGAAUCAUUUUAGAGUUACAGUACCACUAUUAAGAAUAUUUUCCACUCUGGUUGUUUUAAUUAUUUAAACUUUUUGCACAGAAUUUUUUUUUUUUUUUAAGUUGCACAGGAAGCUUACACACAUGUAUCUUUAUGGUCAACAAGGCAAUAGUACAAAACACAACUUGUACUGCAAUGGUGGGUUAGGUUUGCAUGUGAUAAGAAAAAUGAUUGAAUGACAAAAUGAUACAACACUCAUUCAGCUUAACACAACAUAUAACAUCCAAACAACACACAAUCAACAUACAUCAGGUAAAAUAAUUACCAAGAAUAUGCAUAAAAAAAAAAAUUCCCUAAAAAAAAAAAUGCCAACAAUUGUAAUUCAUAGAGUCAUAAUCUGUCCAUUAAAUGGUAUAGUGUAUCAAAUUAUAUAUACUGACCUUGACACAGGGUCAAACACACAAAUAUUUAUAAUAGUAAUAAUGAAAUGUUACUAAAUUAUAUAUCACAAUAUUUGUAUACAUUAUUUGUCAGCAUUUUGUACAAUACAUAUAUUUAUAAUUAACAUUGGUUUCUUGUAUUAAAAACACAAUUGUAACACAAGCUGUCUCUUUUGCCUUACAUAAAUAAAAACAGGGCUAUGUGUAUAAACAAAGUUGCUAUAUAUUUCUGCUCUGCAGGUUGGUGUCAAUAAUAAGCAGUAGACUUGUUAAUGUUUUAAAACUUUAUCCACCAUAAACUGUGUAUCAAGAACCACAUGGGAAUAAACCACAUUUGUCCUAUUUGGAAGAAGAAAAAAAAAAGCUUUGGUCCUUUUGACUAGGUACUAAAAGUCUUGAUGUAAUUAAUACUCAAGCUAUUUUUUUCUGAUAGUAAACAGAUUAACAAAAAAAAAAAAAAAAAG